AUUGAACGCUGGCGGUAGGCUUAACACAUGCAAGUCGAGCGGAGAUGAGGUGCUUGCACCUUAUCUUAGCGGCGGACGGGUGAGUAAUGCUUAGGAAUCUGCCUAUUAGUGGGGGACAACAUUCCGAAAGGAAUGCUAAUACCGCAUACGCCCUACGGGGGAAAGCAGGGGAUCUUCGGACCUUGCGCUAAUAGAUGAGCCUAAGUCGGAUUAGCUAGUUGGUGGGGUAAAGGCCUACCAAGGCGACGAUCUGUAGCGGGUCUGAGAGGAUGAUCCGCCACACUGGGACUGAGACACGGACCAGACUCCUACGGGAGGCAGCAGUGGGGAAUAUUGGACAAUGGGCGGAAGCCUGAUCCAGCCAUGCCGCGUGUGUGAAGAAGGCCUUUUGGUUGUAAAGCACUUUAAGCGAGGAGGAGGCUACCUGGAUUAAUACUCUAGGAUAGUGGACGUUACUCGCAGAAUAAGCACCGGCUAACUCUGUGCCAGCAGCCGCCGUAAAAC
rnacentral:rRNA from 1 species